rnacentral:rRNA from 1 species
UACGUAGGGCGCAAGCGUUGUCCGGAAUUAUUGGGCGUAAAGAGCUCGUAGGCGGCCUGUUACGUCUGCUGUGAAAUCCCGGGGCUUAACCCCGGGCCUGCAGUGGAUACGGGCAGGCUAGAGGCAGGCAGGGGAGAACGGAAUUCCGUGGUGAGCGGUGAAAUGCGCAGAUAUCAGGAGGAACACCGGUGGCGAAGGCGGGUCUCUGGGCCGUAACUGACGCUGAGGAGCGAAAGCAUGGGGAGCGAACAGG